UACGGAGGGUGCGAGCGUUGUCCGGAAUUACUGGGCGUAAAGGGCUCGUAGGUGGUUUUUUGAGUCGGCUGUGAAAUUCCGGGGCUUAACUCCGGGCGUGCAGUGGAUACUGGGAAUCUGGAGUGCUGUAGGGGAGGCUGGAAUUCCUCGUGUAGCGGUGAAAUGCGUAGAUAUCAGGAGGAACACCGAUGGCGAAGGCAGGUCUCUGGGCAGUUACUGACACUGAGGAGCGAAAGCAUGGGUAGCGAACAGG
rnacentral:rRNA from 1 species